CAUAAUCAUUAGUCUUUUAAUUUGAGACUGGAAUGAAAGAGUAAACCAGGAGGAUUUCUUUUUAUUUAAUUAAAUGAAUUUUACUUUUUAGUAAAAAGGCUAAAAUACCCCUUUUAGACGAGAAGACCCUAUAAAACUUUAUACUUCUCUUUAAGAAAGNNNUAAAAGGAAAGUAUUUCACUGGGGCGGUGAGAGAAAANCNNUCUUCUCUUUUUUCAUGAAACGAACUUGUUUUAAUACCUAAAAAUUUUAAAAAAGAAAUAAGUUACUUUAGGGAUAACAGCUUAAUUCACUUAGAAAGUCCAAAUUGACAAGUGAGUUUAUGACCUCGAUGUUGAAUUAAAAUUCCUU
rnacentral:rRNA from 1 species